rnacentral:ncRNA from 1 species
AAUAAAGAUUUAGGUGCCUUUUUAAAUAAAGGUGAAAAGAGAAUAUGGUUAAAUGCCAUAGCAGCCCCCGCUACUGUACUUGAGGACGAGCCUUAUAAAUACCACUUCUUUAAAAGAGGGAAGGGUAAGGUUAGGAUGAAUCAUAAGCCAGGAGACCUGCCUAAAUCUAA